rnacentral:lncRNA from 1 species
CCCGGCCCCAGGGCCCGGCUACGUCACUGCGGCUCUGACGCGCGCUAAUGGAGGCACGGGCGGAGGCGGCGGGGCGCGGGCUUCCUCCCGGGAGGUCCCGGUUCUUGCAACCCACCGCCGCGUCCUUGGCCCUCCUCCAGGGGAACCUCGAUUUUCCAAAUUCGGGAAGGCUGGCUGUCCUUCGACUACUGAUAAGGACGCGAGCGCAUGGUAAAAGAUUUUAACAAUGCCCGGAAAGAAAUAGCUGGACCCGAAAAAGAGACUAAUAAUAGCCACAAGCUAGAGCUCUGCUCGUGUGCUCAGCGCCCUUAAGAACAAUAAUGACGACAACAACCAUAAUAGCUACCAUUUAUUGAGCGCUUACUCUGUGCCAGGCACUGGGUUAAGCGCUUUGCAAGCAACAACCCUCGGAGGUAAGUACCGUUAUUAUCCCUAUUUUGCAGGAAACCGGGGCAGAGAGGUUAAAUAACUUGCCCCAGGGCACACAGCUAGCUGAUGCCAGUGCCAGAAUUCCAACCCAGGUUGUCUGAUCCCAUGUAAUUCUCAUGUCCACCCAUUAUGGUCGGGAUCAUCCUCUCCAUCUUAAAGAUGAGGAAACUAAGGCACAUGGGAAUGUAAGUACCUUGCCCAAGGUCACCUAGCUGGAAAAUGGAUGAGGCAGAAAGCGAACCCAGGGCUCCUCUCUGUCCGCAGAACCCGCGGUCUUGGCCAUAGGCGAUGCCACUUCCAAACCACCUCCGAUAGCCCAGCAGGCUUUGGCCCCUGGUCCCAAGAGGCGCAGCCCCUGAUAGGUUUGGGUGAGUUCCUGUGGCCUCCGAUCCCCUGGUGCAUCGAGUGUUUCCGAGCAUCGUCCCUGCUUGGCCCUCUGGUUUAGAAAAGGAACGCAUCUGCGGGAAUCUCGUCUUGGACCCGGCGCGCGGUCCUGGGAAGGGAUGGAGCGGGGGCGGAUGCAGAGGGAGGGAUCCAGAGUCCCACUUGCGGAGCCGCGGAGCCUGGCCCAGGGUUUGCCCCGCGCAGCCGGCAGAGGGCGCUGCCGCACGCGCCUAGAGUCCCACGGUCACCAGACCUAGGGGCAGGCAUACCUCCACCUCCGGAUGCCUGGACUCAACCCUGGAUCAAGAAGCUUUCUUCCCGGGGGCUGGCACGCCUCAGAGCCCUCCCGACAGUACUGAAUCUGCUUUACCUGACUUCGCUUCCCCAUCUUUUGCGCUUUUGUCACCCCACCAUCUGCCUCCAAGGCUUCCCCACGCCUUACACCACGGAUUGAUUCACCUCCUGCUGAGAGGCGAGAUACUGAUCCCAUUCCAUUAAAAGGCCCUGGAGUUCGCAAAUCCAACUCGACCUUGUCUUCCCUUCCGGUGGGACCUUGGGUGAUUUAAAAUGGGGACGAAUCGAAUCAUCCUCUUGGAAUAGAUAACGAAUUUUCUUUCUUUCUCCAAAAUUAGAGGGGUGGUGGUGGUUAAGAAGGAGUAGACAGAUGAAAGGUUCUAUUUUCAUAAUAGCUACCGCCUAUUGAAGGCUUCUUUUGGGCCAAGCCCUUUAUAUGUCUUAACUCAUUGAUUCUCACUACAGCUCUGAGAGGUCUGGGUAUCGUUCCUACCUGAUGGGUGACUGUGUCAGGAAACUGGUAAGUAGCAAAGCUGGGAUUCCACCAGGAAUAUUUACAUUUUAAGGCAUGUCCCCGUCACCAGGAUGUACAAGGAGACACACUGAUCAAAAGAGGUAGGAUAUACAACCUUAAACUAACUAGAGUGCCCCAUUGAACUGAGGACUGACUAGCUUUCUGGGCUCCACUUUGCGACUCAAAUAUCUGAAACAGAAAAACAAACCCUAAAGGUGCUAUUAGAGACUAGGACCAAGGUUUUUCGCUUCUACUUGGAAGAGCACCCGGAGAGGCCCACUCACUUUCUAUGUCUGGGCUCUAAGGAAAUAAAGGUGGUUCUAGGAAAAUCUGAAAAAUAUGGGAGGAAAAAAAAAUCCCUUCUGUGGUUUUUGCUUUAACCAAGUCUCAUUUUGCUAUUUGCGUUUCAUUUUAAAAUUAAUGUGGCUCUCCCCACCCUUUAAAUUGGCACAUAAAUAGCAAAAACAGAAGGAAAGCCAGCUACAAACUUAAAAUGUGGUGGGUUCUCAGGAAGGAGGGACAUGACUUGAAGUGGAAAUGAGGAUUAAAUGAGGUGCUUUAAACAUUUCAAAGACAGAUUUUCCACAAGGAAUUUAGAGCAUAAGCCCUUAGAAUAAGAGCUCUGUCUGGGCCAGGCUGGGUAUAGUGUCUAGAAUUUGCACUUGCUGAAUAGAUGUGGGAACACAAUCGCACUUGUAGUGAAUGCCUACACCCUCUAACCAUCUGGGCCACCACUGUGCUUAUGGUCUUAAAAUGCAAUCUAGGGGGAUUUUCCUGUCCUCUGAGUCUGUCACUCUGUCAGACUCCUACUUUUCCAGAUGUUUGGUCUGGAAAUUCAGUCAAGGUAAGGCAACUGUUGAUGAUGUCACAUUACUUGGUUACCAUAGAAUAAUGCUUAGCUCUGAAAUCACCAACUGGUGGCUUUUUCAGACAGAGAAAUCAAGGCAGCAAGGACCUCAUGAGACUUGUCACUUAAUAGUUCUGGCUCUAUUUCUCUGUUUUUAAACAAGAAGAAUUUUCCUCAUCACCCAAUUCAAGAGAGCUUGGGCAGUCCCAGGCUGCUUCCUGCUAAAUUCUUGGACUUUUUUUUGUCCUUCCUGACACCUUCUGCCAUGUUUUCAGUGCCUUCACUCCACAAACACGUCUUGAGAUCCCACUCUAUAAAGGUACUGGGGGUAUCCAGCAGUGAGGAACCCAACAUGAAUUCAUCAGAGGUCACCUUCUCCCACUCUUACCUGGAUCCUCACCUCCUGACUCCAACUUCCAUACCAGGUCCUACAAUAGUAAAUGGCUUGCUUCUCCAGCCAGAGACCAUUGCUCAGACACUUCUGACAUCCUGGCAGCUCCUGACAGCUCCCUGACAUCAUGUCCUCGGACCCCAGAUCCCUGUCCUGGUGAUAUCAAUUUGACAGCAGUUCUGGGCCCUCGGAAGCAGGGCUUGGGAAUGUUCUAGGUCCAACACUUGCAUUCUUUCCUGUCCUUUCUAGUUGUCAUUCCUUCAGCUCAUAAGAGCGCUGCUAAUGAUGACUGAGCUAGCUAGGCCAUACUUAGGAAGCAUCUCUUACAAUGAAAAUCCCAUAGUGACAUAAUUCUCCACUGUUCACAGGAAAAUGCUGGAUUAAACAAACGACAGUGACUGUCUGGCAACGGACCCACUGGAUAAUGCUUACCAGUUUUCCAGGUCAUUUUUGUUUUUUAAAUUGAAUCUUGGGAUCAAGUGAUUCACAAUAAUGAGGGGAAGAAAGAACUCUGGGCUUGUUGUAGCUGUCAGGAUUAUCCAAUUGGAAGGGACUUUCGCUCUUCACACCCCCAAAAAGACAAAAUGUUUAAGGUAAAUUGCCAGUUUUUGUUUAUCUGGAAAAUCCAUUACUACUGGAUGAUGUUGGACUUGACCCAUUCCCAAACAAUAAAAAGAGGAUUGAAUGUUAAGAUUCAGAUUUUGUCCCUGAAAAUCCCUUUAGAAAGGGAUUUCCAAAUCAGUAUUCUUACAAUUCUUGACUUUCUCACCCCCAAGUCUGUCCCAUCCCUUCUAGAUAAGAGCAUUAUUUUCUGUCCCUUUGAGGAAGGCAGUGGCCCAGAGGCUGGAGGAAUAAGGGACAAUAAGGAGGUCAGCUUUUGCGCCGACCUAUUUGAAUGAAGGGAAAUUCUUUGCGCGCCGCCUGGGCAAGAGUCUGUGGUUGUGCAUUCACUGGCUGAGGUCCAAAAUCUCCCUAAUAUGGAAGACUGAAAUAUGCCAGAAGAAAGACCUGUCUGGGAAGGACCUGGGUCCUCCCACCAAGGGGUCAGGGAUGGCCAAAGGGGUCUCCUAACGCAGCAGUCUACGUGUGCAGCUGCUGGGUUAAAGAGAUUUGGAAACCGCUGAACAUUCCUGCUGGGAUCUUGCCAAGCCCUGUUGGGAACCGGCUACAGUGCUUGUCUGGGGAAAUUAGUUUUGCACUUUCACAGAGUGUGAAAUUCCUCAGGGGCAUUCUUGUACUCGGGAAGAGAAAUCAAACCCAGCUCAUUCCUUCAGGGUCUUUGCCAUUAAUAAAGCAGACGGAAUCCAGUUCGCUGGGUCCAGCCUGGGGCCUGCGCUGGGCGGGGGCAGAAGCAGUCAAGUUUCACCUGUGGCAGAAGCCCUCCCCGAACCCGCGCAAGCUUGAGAUUUUAGGGGAUCCUGUUACCGGCUUAUAAACACCGUGAGUGACAGCCAGCGCUCCCAAGCGACCAUAGAGGAGCUCAAACCCUUCCUAUCUUCCUAGAAACCCUGGCUGCCCUGCCGGCUGCUUGCUGUCUGAUGCAACAGUUUGCAACGCAGCUCUGGGAGUCGAGCCCUGCCGUGGGGCGCCUGGCGCCGGACCGAAGCGCAUGCGCGGGCUGCAGCCCUGCCCCCGCCUGGCUGAUGGAGGUGGGGAAGCUUUUCUCCAGAUGUGCUGGAGGCGGGGCCCGGAGGGCGGGGAGACCUUGGGCAGCUCGCGCCAGCGAUCUGAGCUUAAUUAAACUUCUCCCGAGGCAUUGGCUGACUGAUUGACCCAGUGAUCCAAAAAAAAUCAGAGAGGCCCGAAUCGCCCCCAAACGCACUGGGAGAAUGAAGUGGAGGAGUUGGCUUUUGGUUUCCAGAGCUGGGCCUUUGGAUUCAACUUCCCUUCCCGAGCCUCCCAAUCUCAGAUGCAGUCGGGGUUCUAAAGCUCCUCAGUCAGGCCUCGUUGGCCUGUGGUUUAAUUUGAAGGAGGGAACAUGGCAUCAUAGGUUGUUUUUCAAAAUUAUCAACCAUUCAGGUAUUGUCUUUAUGAUUUUCUCUCCUACCCACAUUCCAUCAAUAUUAUAUCUUUAAUUUACUUUUUUAUUUUAUUAACUUUUUUUCUAAAUUAACUUUAAAUCGAUUCCC